rnacentral:rRNA from 1 species
UACGGGGGGGGCAAGCGUUGUUCGGAAUUACUGGGCGUAAAGGGCUCGUAGGCGGCCAACUAAGUCAGACGUGAAAUCCCUCGGCUUAACCGGGGAACUGCGUCUGAUACUGGUUGGCUUGAAUCCGGGAGAGGGAUGUGGAAUUCCAGGUGUAGCGGUGAAAUGCGUAGAUAUCUGGAGGAACACCGGUGGCGAAGGCGGCAUCCUGGACCGGUAUUGACGCUGAGGAGCGAAAGCCAGGGGGAGCAAA